rnacentral:rRNA from 1 species
UAGCGGAUAGUACCGUGAGGGAAUGGUGAAAAGUACCGCGGGAGCGGAGUGAAAUAGUACCUGAAACCGUGUGCCUACAAGCCGUGGGAGCGUCGCUGUAUGUGCUUGCACAUGCAGUCGUGACUGCGUGCCUUUUGAAGAAUGAGCCUGCGAGUUAGCGGUGUGUAGCGAGGUUAACCCGUGUGGGGAAGCCGUAGCGAAAGCGAGUCCGA